CUCGUUUUUAAAAAUUAUUAAUAAAGAUUUAUAUGUAAAUUGGAGGACCUAUAUGUAAAUAUAGAAAUUACAAGGACUAAACUGCUAAGUUGCAAAAAAAAAAAGGAAAAACCGAAAAUUCGGUAUUAUCCCACCGCCUCCCACGCACUCUGUUUCUUCCAGAAACAGAGAGAGCGGUGGGGCAUGAGGAUUGAAGAAAAGAAGAAGAGGGAAAAGAAGAGAGGAGGAAGAAGAGAGGAAGAAGAGGGAGAAGAGAAGAAGAAGAAGAAGAAGAGGAGGUGGCUGCAGCGAGGGCUGCAGCGAGGAGCUGUGGGGCGUGGGGAGAAGAAGAGAGGAAGAAGAGGGAGUAGAGAAGAAGAAGAAGGAGAAGAAGAAGAAGAGGAGGUGGCUGCAGCGAGGGCUGCAGCGAGAAGCUGUGGGGCGUGGGGAGAAGAAGAGAGGAAGAAGAGGGAGAAGAGAAGAAGAAGAAGAAGAAGAAGAGAAGAGGAUAGCUGCGGCAAGGCUGCAGCGAGGAGGUGUGGGGUUGGGGAGGAAAAGGGAAGAGGAAAAGAGAGGGAAGAGGGAGAGGAGCGAGAGGUGGCAGCAGCUAGGGCUGCAGCACCUCUGUUUCCUGCAGGUGGAAACAGAGGAGAGGUGUGGGGCGUUCGAAGAGGAGAAGAAGAAGAAGAGGAAGAGAAGAGGAAGAGGAAGCAGGGGAAGAGGUUGUGAUACCUCUGUUUCCUGCAGAGGAAACAGAGGAGAGGGUGUGGGUGACGUCGGGGAGAAGAAGGGGAGGAAGGAGAAGAAGAGAAGAAGAAGAAAGGAAGGAAAAGGAAGAGGAGAAGGGAAGAAAGUAGCUGCGGCUGCGGUUGUGGCAGCUGCAGCUGUGGCAGGGAAAGAAGAAGAGAAAGGAAGAAGGGGAGGAGAGGAAGAAGAGUAGGGGCUGCGGCUGCGGCGAUGGCAGCUGCAGUUGGAAGAGAAGAAGGAGAGGAAGAUGAGCAGGGGAGGAAGAAAAGGCUGUGGCCGUGGCUGAGGCUGCGACUGCAGCAUGCAGCUGGGAAAGAAGAGAAGGAAAGGAAGAAGAAGAGAAAGGAAGAAGGGAAGGAGAGGAAGAAGAGAAGGGGCUGCGGCUGCGGCGAUGGCAGCUGCAGUUGGAAGAGAAGAAGGAGAGGAAGAUGAGCAGGGGAGGAAGAAAAGGCAGUGGCCGUGGCUGAGGCUGCGACUGCAGCAUGCAGCUGGGAAAGAAGAGAAGGAAAGGAAGAAGAAGAGAAAGGAAGAAGGGAAGGAGAGGAAGAAGAGAAGGGGGCUGCGGCUGCGGCGAUGGCAGCUGCAGUUGGAAGAGAAGAAGGAGAGGAAGAUGAGCAGGGGAGGAAGAAAAGGCUGUGGCCGUGGCUGAGGCUGCGACUGCAGCAUGCAGCUGGGAAAGAAGAGAAGGAAAGGAAGAAGAAGAGAAAGGAAGAAGGGAAGGAGAGGAAGAAGAGAAGGGGCUACGGCUGCGGCGAUAGCAGCUGCAGUUGGAAGAGAAGAAGGAGAGGAAGAUGAGCAGGGGAGGAAGAAGAGGCUGCGAGUGUGGUGGCUGCGGCCGUGGCUGCGACUCCGGCUGCGGCUGCAACGUUGGCUGCGGUAGCUGCGGCAGCGGUGGUGGCUGCAGUAGCUGCAGUAGCUGCUUUUGGGAAAGAGAAAGAGUAGGAACGAGAGAAGGGAAGAAGGAAAUAGUGCAGUGGAAGGGGGCUGCGGUUGUGACCGCAGUUGCGGUCGUGGCUGCGAUUGUGGCAGCGGCAGCGACGGCGGCUGUGGCAGCUGCGUUUGGGAAAGAAAAAAAAAAGGAAUGAGAGUAAGAGAGAGCAGGUGACUGUGCCUCGAUGUUCGACACGUGAUGUAGUUGUGAAGAAAGGAAGAAAACGGGAGCACAAAACGAAACAGAGAGAGGACACGGAGAAAAAGUAGAAGGAUUUGGGCUGGCACCUUCUUUGGAUCUUCGGAUCGAAAUCAUUGAAAGGUCAGCUUGUCACUCUUCGAGAUGUUUGAUUUGGGCUGAGGCAGUGGAUAGCUAUUCAGAAUAAUGGGCAAGUCUGGUUGGUUAUUACGAUAUUGUUGUAUAAGUAUGUCUUGUAUGUAAUGAAAUGUUGUCGAUGAACCGAAAUGGAUAUACUGUAUCAAAGUGUUAGGAGAUCUCUCUUAUUUGGAAUUUCAGAAUGUUAAGUCUAAUUUAUGGUGAUAUGAACUUGUGGUGAAUAGUUGGAGUUCUGAUUGUAUAAUUUAUUUAGCUUGUGGAUUUAUAAAUGUUGUUCAUGUUUGUCAAGUUGGCUUGGGUUGCCAUAAAUGUGAAUUAUCGAGUGAUGUGAUAUAUGAUUACAAACUGCACAGGUUUUAUGGAUGUGAAUAUGAAUAGAAUGUUUUCAGUGUCCUCAAACGUUAGUUUGGAUCCUGGAUUGGUCUGUGACGAAAAUUUUAAAAAAUCAUGGAUAUUUAGAGGGGCGUGACAGAGGUGGUAUCAGAGCAUUGUUUGAGGAUUACUGAAAUAUUUGAUAUGUUGACGUGCAAAAUAUAUUGAGGUCUAAUGAAACUAUAGUGAUUGGUGGAAAUUUUCUUUGAUGUAUUUUAGGAAUCUAGGAUGACGAUGACAUUUAGUCCUCCUACUUCAUCUGAUUUUGAUUAAUUAAGUGGGAUGAAAGGGGUAAUCGGGGAUAUUGAAUCAGAGUGGCGCAGUGGAAGCAUGGUGGACCUAAUUUCAUUGGUGGUAGAAAAAUGAAUGAUGCAAACAGAGAAGAUAUUUGAUGUACAAAAUUGUUUUGAUGAUCAAAAGAUUUCUUUUGCCACCUUAUAUUGGAAGUAGAGACUGAUUAUUAUUGGCAACAAUGAAAAGAAUUUUUGAAAAUCAGUGACAAGAAUGAUAAGGACAAGUUUACCAAUAAGAAUAUGAUUGGAAAUGAAUCAGAAAGUAAUGACAAGAGGGUCAAGACAUUUGGAUUUGAAAAGGAAAGUCACCACCAAAGACUUAAUCAUGUGUGAAUUACAAGUUAAAUUAUGAAACAAGUUUGUGUUUUCGGGUGAUUGGAGUCUAUUUUGCUUGUAGAAAGUUGGAUCAUAAAAUAAAAGUUUGCCCUUUGAACAAGAAGAAAGAGUCACUGCCUCCUAAAUCAUCAGCCCAUGUAAGAGUGUAUGCUAUCACUAAAUAUGAUUCUGAAACUUCUGAAUUAGUGGUCAAAGGUAUUAUGCAUGUUUAUGAAAGAAUGCAAAUAUUUGUUUGACCAUGGGUCCCAUCUAUGAUUUGAUUCGGAAUAUUCUGCCUAUCACUUGGGUAUUCAACCUAGACCACUACAUUAUGUGCUAUAUGUAAAUACGAUCAUUGGAGAUUCUUUGAUAACGAACUUGAAUCUGGUCCUCUUGUCUGAUUUUUGUUGGAGAACUUGAACUUUUGCUGAUUUAGUUCUCCUAGAGAUUUGGAGUUAUGAUAUUAUACUUGGUAUGGAUUGGCCAUCUUCUUAUCAUACCAGUAUGGAUUGAUAUAUAACAAAUGAUCACUUUUUGUAUAUUUGAUCAGUCGAUCUUUUACUUUGAGAGUAUGGGACAUGAUUUAUCUCCUUGCCUAAUGUAUCCAGGAUGACUUGCUUGGAUUACCUCCAAAUGUGACUUUGCUUUUGAUUUGGUCAUUGAGAUAAUUCCAAUAUCUAAGCCUCUCUACAGAAAGAUAUCAUUUGAGUAAGUGGAAUUGGAAAAGCAACUACAAGGAUUGUUAAAUGAGGAUUUUAUUUGGCUUAAUAUUUCAUCAUGGGGUGCUCCGGUUAGUUAAAAGAAAUGUAUGGAACAUUGAGGCUUUGUAAUGAUUAUAGACAGUUGAAUUAGGUGACCAUCAAAAACGAGUAUUUUCUGAAGUAACGACUUGCUCGAGUAAUUACAGGGUACGCAAGUAUUUUUAAAAAUUGAUUCAAGGUCGGGUUACCGUCUAUUGAGGAUCAAGGAGGAGAAUAUUUCGAUCACUCGUGGAUAAUUAUGUAAUUGUAUUGUAUUGAUGAAACUAUUUAAGAGUAGGAGGAGGAAAUAAAGAUAUCAUAAUCCUCAUCUUUUCAUCGAUUGAGCUAUGAUCAAUUUAGAGGACUAAAUUUUCUUUUAAGGGGGGGAGAGUGUAAUAUCCCUCGUUUUUAAAAAUUAUUAAUAAAGAUUUAUAUGUAAAUUGGAGGACCUAUAUGUAAAUAUAGAAAUUACAAGGACUAAACUGCUAAGUUGCAAAAAAAAAAGGAAAAACCGAAAAUUCGGUAUUAUCCCACCGCCUCCCACGCACUCUGUUUCUUCCAGAAACAGAGAGAGCGGUGGGGCAUGAGGAUUGAAGAAAAGAAGAAGAGGGAAAAGAAGAGAGGAGGAAGAAGAGAGGAAGAAGAGGGAGAAGAGAAGAAGAAGAAGAAGAAGAGGAGGUGGCUGCAGCGAGGGCUGCAGCGAGGAGCUGUGGGGCGUGGGGAGAAGAAGAGAGGAAGAAGAGGGAGUAGAGAAGAAGAAGAAGGAGAAGAAGAAGAAGAGGAGGUGGCUGCAGCGAGGGCUGCAGCGAGAAGCUGUGGGGCGUGGGGAGAAGAAGAGAGGAAGAAGAGGGAGAAGAGAAGAAGAAGAAGAAGAAGAAGAGAAGAGGAUAGCUGCGGCAAGGCUGCAGCGAGGAGGUGUGGGGUUGGGGAGGAAAAGGGAAGAGGAAAAGAGAGGGAAGAGGGAGAGGAGCGAGAGGUGGCAGCAGCUAGGGCUGCAGCACCUCUGUUUCCUGCAGGUGGAAACAGAGGAGAGGUGUGGGGCGUUCGAAGAGGAGAAGAAGAAGAAGAGGAAGAGAAGAGGAAGAGGAAGCAGGGGAAGAGGUUGUGAUACCUCUGUUUCCUGCAGAGGAAACAGAGGAGAGGGUGUGGGUGACGUCGGGGAGAAGAAGGGGAGGAAGGAGAAGAAGAGAAGAAGAAGAAAGGAAGGAAAAGGAAGAGGAGAAGGGAAGAAAGUAGCUGCGGCUGCGGUUGUGGCAGCUGCAGCUGUGGCAGGGAAAGAAGAAGAGAAAGGAAGAAGGGGAGGAGAGGAAGAAGAGUAGGGGCUGCGGCUGCGGCGAUGGCAGCUGCAGUUGGAAGAGAAGAAGGAGAGGAAGAUGAGCAGGGGAGGAAGAAAAGGCUGUGGCCGUGGCUGAGGCUGCGACUGCAGCAUGCAGCUGGGAAAGAAGAGAAGGAAAGGAAGAAGAAGAGAAAGGAAGAAGGGAAGGAGAGGAAGAAGAGAAGGGGCUGCGGCUGCGGCGAUGGCAGCUGCAGUUGGAAGAGAAGAAGGAGAGGAAGAUGAGCAGGGGAGGAAGAAAAGGCAGUGGCCGUGGCUGAGGCUGCGACUGCAGCAUGCAGCUGGGAAAGAAGAGAAGGAAAGGAAGAAGAAGAGAAAGGAAGAAGGGAAGGAGAGGAAGAAGAGAAGGGGGCUGCGGCUGCGGCGAUGGCAGCUGCAGUUGGAAGAGAAGAAGGAGAGGAAGAUGAGCAGGGGAGGAAGAAAAGGCUGUGGCCGUGGCUGAGGCUGCGACUGCAGCAUGCAGCUGGGAAAGAAGAGAAGGAAAGGAAGAAGAAGAGAAAGGAAGAAGGGAAGGAGAGGAAGAAGAGAAGGGGCUACGGCUGCGGCGAUAGCAGCUGCAGUUGGAAGAGAAGAAGGAGAGGAAGAUGAGCAGGGGAGGAAGAAGAGGCUGCGAGUGUGGUGGCUGCGGCCGUGGCUGCGACUCCGGCUGCGGCUGCAACGUUGGCUGCGGUAGCUGCGGCAGCGGUGGUGGCUGCAGUAGCUGCAGUAGCUGCUUUUGGGAAAGAGAAAGAGUAGGAACGAGAGAAGGGAAGAAGGAAAUAGUGCAGUGGAAGGGGGCUGCGGUUGUGACCGCAGUUGCGGUCGUGGCUGCGAUUGUGGCAGCGGCAGCGACGGCGGCUGUGGCAGCUGCGUUUGGGAAAGAAAAAAAAAAGGAAUGAGAGUAAGAGAGAGCAGGUGACUGUGCCUCGAUGUUCGACACGUGAUGUAGUUGUGAAGAAAGGAAGAAAACGGGAGCACAAAACGAAACAGAGAGAGGACACGGAGAAAAAGUAGAAGGAUUUGGGCUGGCACCUUCUUUGGAUCUUCGGAUCGAAAUCAUUGAAAGGCAAGUUUUCUGAUUCUUCCUAUUGCAAGUUUCCCGCUUGUUUCAAUCCUUUCUAUUGCAAGUUCCCUGUUCGUUUCUCCUAUAAUUGCUCUGAUAUACCUUAUUGCAAGUUCCCUGAUCGUUUUUCCUAUAAUUGCUCUUAUAUGUCUUAUUGCAAGUAUCCUGAUCUUUCCUCACUGCCAAUUUUAUCUCCACAUUUGCUUUGAAUAUGAGGAACUUUGAAUUGUUCUAGCCUUGCAUUUGAUAUAUCUCCUGUUUAGAUGUAACAAUUCGAAUCUGUGCAACUUCUGAGAUUCUGACCUUUUGAUACCGAGCUGCAAGUCUUUGUGGAAACUCUGAUUUGUUCAAAACUGAUUUCAUUGGAAACUAGACUCGUAGACCUUUCUUUGAUAUAUGGAUUGAAAGAUCUGAAAUCCAAACACCUGCCCAGUUAUCUGUUGAAUCUGACAUUAUGAAUUCUGCCAACAGAGAUUUUGUUCUAUGACUCUUGCUUACCAAAUUAUUUGUAACUCUCUCUGUUGGACAGUUCAAUUCAUAUGAAGCCUGUCUUAUCUGAAAGUAUUAUCCAAUGAUUAUUUCUGAGUAAAUUGGAGCACGAUUGAUAGUUUGAAUCAUUUGUUCAAUGUGCCUUUUGUAUUCUGUCAGAAAUCGAGCUUUGGUCGAUUUCUCAUAUUCUGGUUUCAUUCCUUUGGAAAUUGAUAUCCUUUAGCCUUCUUAUUCAAUUGAGCUUUAUAUUACUACUUUGAAUUCUUGUAUGCUCUUGUCCUUAAAAUUAUUGCAUUCUUGAAAACUGUUGUGUAACGUUUAUGCUAUAUCGUAUUGACUCAUAUAGGCACAUGUAUAUCCUAUUGUUCCGCAUUUGCUUUCGAUAUGUGCCUAUUCCAGUUUCAUUUCCUUUGAACAUUGAAUUCAUCAAAUCUUCUUAUUGAAUUGAGUUAUAUGUGAUUGCUUGGAUUCCAUAUGUGCCCUUGCUUUCAAUUCCCUUCAAAUCUGAAUAUACUUGUGAAAGAUUAUUGCUUACUUCGGAUUGACUCGUAAAGGCACAUGUACGUUUGUUGUUCCGCGUGUGCUUCCGAUAUAUGCUACUUAUUGUUGAAACUGCCCUUUUGUACUCUGGUGUGUGGGAUUGUCCGGACCUUUGCCAGAAAUGGUAAAGGGUAUGCGCUAUUUGCCCGCUUUGUGGGGUCCCGUUAUGUGGGAUAUUUUGGACCUUUGCCAGAAAUGGUAAAGGGUAUGCGCUUGUUGCCCGCUUUGAGGGUAUGUGAUUAGAGCCUGCGAUGCUCUGCCGGCCCCCUUUGACUUCACCUAGACGUGGGUGGAUGGAGCUCCCAGACGUGGGAGACUUUUGUCAGGUGGUCAUUCAGAAAUGGAUGAAUCACAUUCUGACUGAGAUCCCACUACACCUUCUGUAUGUUUGAUAUGAUAUCCAGAGCUUUGGUUAUGUGUUUCUGUACAUGCUUUGGAUAAGAUUGAUAUGUUUGCAACGUCAAAGACGACGUUUGAGCUUCUGUACGAUAUUUGUUUUCGAUAUGCUCUGAAAUGCUUCAUUCACUGAUGAUAUGCUUCGAAAUGUUCCAUAUGCCGUUGAUAUGCUCCGGAACAUUUCAUAUGCCAUUGAUAUGCUCCAAUUACUCUGUGCUCCAUUUGCUAUGAACUGAUAUGUUCUGAAAUGUCCUAUCUGCCAUUGAUAUGUUCCAAUUACUCUGUGCUCCAUUUGCUAUGAACUGAUAUGUUCUGAAAUGUCCUAUCUGCCAUUGAUAUGUUCCAAUUACUCUGUGCUCCAUUUGCUAUGAACUGAUAUGUUCUGAAAUGUCCUAUCUGCCAUUGAUAUGUUCCAAUUACUCUGUGCUCCAUUGCUAUGAACUGAUAUGUUCUGAAAUGUCCUAUCUGCCAUUGAUAUGUUCCAAUUACUCUGUGCUCCAUUUGUUAUGAACAGAUAUGUUCUGAAAUGUCCUAUCUGCCAUUGAUAUGUUCCAAUUACUCUGUGCUCCAUUUGCUAUGAACUGAUAUGUUCUGAAAUGUCCUAUCUGCCAUUGAUAUGUUCCAAUUACUCUGUGCUCCAUUUGUUAUGAACAGAUAUGUUCUGAAAUGUCCUAUCUGCCAUUGAUAUGUUCCAAUUACUCUAUGCCCCAUUCGUUAUGGAUCAAAUAUGUUUUUGAAUGACAUGAUACGUAUGAUUUGGUAUCUAUUGAGAUGGUAUCCUUGAGAAUUCUUGUAUUCUGCCUUGCAUUAUGAUACCUUACUCGUUUGAAACCGUUCCUUUUGUUCUGAAUAUGCUUUGUCACUUGCUGAGCCGUUUUUGGCUCACUCCGUUGUUAUAUAAAUCUUUCAGGUCAGCUUGUCACUCUUCGAGAUGUUUGAUUUGGGCUGAGGCAGUGGAUAGCUAUUCAGAAUAAUGGGCAAGUCUGGUUGGUUAUUACGAUAUUGUUGUAUAAGUAUGUCUUGUAUGUAAUGAAAUGUUGUCGAUGAACCGAAAUGGAUAUACUGUAUCAAAGUGUUAGGAGAUCUCUCUUAUUUGGAAUUUCAGAAUGUUAAGUCUAAUUUAUGGUGAUAUGAACUUGUGGUGAAUAGUUGGAGUUCUGAUUGUAUAAUUUAUUUAGCUUGUGGAUUUAUAAAUGUUGUUCAUGUUUGUCAA